UACGAAGGGUGCAAACGUUGCUCGGAAUUAUUGGGCGUAAAGCGCACGUAGGCGGCCUAUCAAGUCGGAUGUGAAAUCCCUCGGCUCAACCAAGGAAGUGCAUCCGAAACUGGCAGGCUUGAGUACUUAAGAGGAUCGCGGAAUUCCCGGUGUAGAGGUGAAAUUCGUAGAUAUUCGCAAGAACACCAGUGACGAAGGCGGCUCACUGGCCCGAUACUGACGCUGAGGUGCGAAAGCGUGGGGAGCAAACAGG
rnacentral:rRNA from 1 species